AUUGAACGCUGGCGGCAUGCUUUACACAUGCAAGUCGAACGGUAACAGGCCGCAAGGUGCUGACGAGUGGCGAACGGGUGAGUAAUGCAUCGGAACGUGCCCAGUCGUGGGGGAUAACUGCUCGAAAGAGCAGCUAAUACCGCAUACGAUCUAUGGAUGAAAGCGGGGGACCGUAAGGCCUCGCGCGAUUGGAGCGGCCGAUGUCAGAUUAGGUAGUUGGGGGGGUAAAGGCUCACCAAGCCAACGAUCUGUAGCUGGUCUGAGAGGACGACCAGCCACACUGGGACUGAGACACGGCCCAGACUCCUACGGGAGGCAGCAGUGGGGAAUUUUGGACAAUGGGGCAACCCUGAUCCAGCAAUGCCGCGUGCAGGAAGAAGGCCUUCGGGUUGUAAACUGCUUUUGUACGGAACGAAACGGUCUGGGUUAAUACCCUGGGCUAAUGACGGUACCGUAAGAAUAAGCACCGGCUAACUACGUGCCAGCAGCCGCAGUAAGAC
rnacentral:rRNA from 1 species